GACGAACGCUGGCGGCGUGCUUAACACAUGCAAGUCGAACGGAAAGGCCCUGCUUUUGUGGGGUGCUCGAGUGGCGAACGUGUGAGUAACACGUGAGUAUCCUGCCCUUGACUUUGGGAUAACUUCAGGAAACUGGGGCUAAUACCGGAUAGGAGCUCCUGCUGCAUGGUGGGGGUUGGAAAGUUUCGGCGGUUGGGGAUGGACUCGCGGCUUAUCAGCUUGUUGGUGGGGUAGUGGCUUACCAAGGCUUUGACGGGUAGCCGGCCUGGGAGGGUGACCGGCGACAUUGGGACUAAGAUACGGACCAGACUCCUACGGGAGGCAGCAGUGGGGAGUAUUGCACAAUGAGCGGAAGCCUGAUGCAGAAACGCCGCGUGCGGGAUGACGGCCUUCGGGUUGUAAACCGCUUUCGCCUGUGACGAAGCGUGAGUGACGGUAAUAGGUAAAGAAGCACCGGCUAACUACGUG
rnacentral:rRNA from 1 species